rnacentral:rRNA from 1 species
CCUACGGGAGGCAGCAGUAAGGAAUAUUGGACAAUGGACGCAAGUCUGAUCCAGCCAUGCCGCGUGAAGGAUUAAGGCCCUCUGGGUUGUAAACUUCUUUUAUAGGGGACGAAAAAAGGGCUUUCUAGCUCGACUGACGGUACCCUAUGAAUAAGCACCGGCUAACUCCGUGCCAGCAGCCGCGGUAAUACGGAGGGUGCAAGCGUUAUCCGGAUUCACUGGGUUUAAAGGGUGCGUAGGCGGGCAUUUAAGUCAGUGGUGAAAUCUUCGAGCUCAACUCGGAAACUGCCAUUGAUACUAUUUGUCUUGAAUAUUGUGGAGGUGAGCGGAAUAUGUCAUGUAGCGGUGAAAUGCUUAGAUAUGACAUAGAACACCGAUUGCGAAGGCAGCUCGCUACACAAAUAUUGACGCUGAGGCACGAAAGCGUGGGGAUCAAACAGGAUUAGAUACCCUGGUAGUCCACGCCCUAAACCUAUGGAUACUCGACAUUUGCGAUACACAGUAAGUGUCUGAGCGAAAGCAUUAAGUAUCCCACCUGGAAGUACGACCGCAAGGUUGAAACUCAAAUGAAUUGACGG